CAAGGCGUACCAGACCUGCACAAGCUCAGGCUGCCCUCUGGCUUGUGUGAAUUUCUGGGCUGCUGCCUGCAGAUGGAUGUGGACAGGCGAGGCUCUGCCAAGGAACUUCUGCAGCAUCCAUUUCUCCAGUCAGCGGAGCCUCUCUUAAGCCUCUUCUGACAGCCUGAUUGCUGUCAUCCCUGCAGCCAAGUCAUGCAGGAAUCAAAGGAGAUGACAAGGACCACUUCAGCACUUGGAGAACUGAACCUGUGAGAACAGAUCACAUGGGCCCCUGCCAUCUAAAUCCCAACUCUAAGGGCUUUUCAAAUGGAAAGGAAGGAAACUUGCAGCGAAGCAAUCGAGGAAGCAGAAGAGAUGACCAGGACCACUUCAGGAUUACUUCCUCCAAAGGCAGCUUGGAGCUGGACUCACAAUAAAAGUCCUAUACACCCUCAGGCCUUAUUUUAAAUGAUGUUAAUACCAGCACAGUGAUGGCUUGGUUUGCUGUUUGGGGUUUUUUUACUUUAAAAAUAUACUAACAUUCCCAAGUGACCUUAAACUGCUAAGGGUGUUAAACUACUGAAAGAAUCCAUUAAAUGGUACAAGAAAAAAAAAUUAGAAGUUCCCAGCACCAGACCUGUGCUCUUGCAUGAACUUCUGCAAGGAUAUUUGAGUACUGCUCUUCAAGAUAUUGCUUUUCUUUCUGCCUGCAAUGUUCCUGUGCUUUUAACUGUUCAGACAUUUUCUCAAAAGCCUCCCCCUGCUUCUGCUGAAGGUUUUUCAUAGUGUCAGUCUUGUGCUUGCAAAUAUAUUCUAGGUGAAAUAUCUGUGUGAGAAGAAUUUAAGAAGAAAUUCUUAUUUACCUUUUCACUUUGAGUCAAGCACAGACUAUUCCAGCAUAAAAUCUAAACUGUAAUUUCUUCAAAAUUAUCAUUAAAACUAAGUA